rnacentral:rRNA from 1 species
GAUGAACGCUAGCGGGAGGCCUAACACAUGCAAGUCGAGCGGGAUUCACUUUCGGGUGAUGAGAGCGGCGCACGGGUGCGUAACGCGUAUGCAACCUACCUCUAACAGUGGGAUAGCCCGUUGAAAGACGGAUUAAUACCGCAUAGUAUUAUUGAAUGGCAUCGUUUAAUAAUUAAAGCUCCGGCGGUUAGAGAUGGGCAUGCGUGACAUUAGUUAGUUGGUGAGGUAACGGCUCACCAAGACUACGAUGUCUAGGGGUUCUGAGAGGAUGAUCCCCCACACUGGUACUGAGACACGGACCAGACUCCUACGGGAGGCAGCAGUGAGGAAUAUUGGUCAAUGGGCGCAAGCCUGAACCAGCCAUCCCGCGUGAAGGAAGAAUGUCCUAUGGAUUGUAAACUUCUUUUGUG